ACGGUUAUAAAUCAACAUAUUGAUUUAUGGGCAUGGAAAUCCCCUGAGUGAAACAACGAAUUGCUGUGUGUAGUCUUUGCCCAUCUCCCACGAUGGGCUUUUUUUUAA
rnacentral:other from 1 species